GAUGAACGCUGGCGGCGUGCUUAACACAUGCAAGUCGAACGAAGCACUUUAUUUGAUUUCCUUCGGGACUGAUUAUUUUGUGACUGAGUGGCGGACGGGUGAGUAACGCGUGGGUAACCUGCCUUGUACAGGGGGAUAACAGUUGGAAACGGCUGCUAAUACCGCAUAAGCGCACGGCAUCGCAUGAUGCAGUGUGAAAAACUCCGGUGGUAUAAGAUGGACCCGCGUUGGAUUAGCUAGUUGGUGAGGUAACGGCCCACCAAGGCGACGAUCCAUAGCCGACCUGAGAGGGUGACCUGCCACAUUGGGACUGAGACACGGCCCAAACUCCUACGGGAGGCAGCAGUGGGGAAUAUUGCACAAUGGGCGAAAGCCUGAUGCAGCGACGCCGCGUGAGCGAAGAAGUAUUUCGGUAUGUAAAGCUCUAUCAGCAGGGAAGAUAAUGACGGUACCUGACGAAGAAGCACCGGCUAAAUACGUG
rnacentral:rRNA from 1 species